GAUGAACGCUGGCGGCGUGCCUAAUACAUGCAAGUCGAGCGAACAGACGAGGAGCUUGCUCCUCUGACGUUAGCGGCGGACGGGUGAGUAACACGUGGAUAACCUACCUAUAAGACUGGGAUAACUUCGGGAAACCGGAGCUAAUACCGGAUAAUAUAUUGAACCGCAUGGUUCAAUAGUGAAAGACGGUUUUGCUGUCACUUAUAGAUGGAUCCGCGCCGCAUCAGCUAGUUGGUAAGGUAACGGCUUACCAAGGCAACGAUGCGUAGCCGACCUGAGAGGGUGAUCGGCCACACUGGAACUGAGACACGGUCCAGACUCCUACGGGAGGCAGCAGUAGGGAAUCUUCCGCAAUGGGCGAAAGCCUGACGGAGCAACGCCGCGUGAGUGAUGAAGGUCUUCGGAUCGUAAAACUCUGUUAUUAGGGAAGAACAAAUGUGUAAGUAACUAUGCACGUCUUGACGGUACCUAAGCAGAAAGCCACGGCUAACUACGU
rnacentral:rRNA from 1 species